rnacentral:rRNA from 1 species
GAGACAGCAGUAGCCGCGGGAAUACAGAGGGUGCGAGCGUUAAUCGGAUUUACUGGGCGUAAAGCGUGCGUAGGCGGCUUUUUAAGUCGGAUGUGAAAUCCCUGAGCUUAACUUAGGAAUUGCAUUCGAUACUGGGAAGCUAGAGUAUGGGAGAGGAUGGUAGAAUUCCAGGUGUAGCGGUGAAAUGCGUAGAGAUCUGGAGGAAUACCGAUGGCGAAGGCAGCCAUCUGGCCUAAUACUGACGCUGAGGUACGAAAGCAUGGGGAGCAAACAGGAUUAGAGACCCCCGUAGUCCCUGUCUCUUAUAC